rnacentral:rRNA from 1 species
UACGUAGGGUGCAAGCGUUAAUCGGAAUUACUGGGCGUAAAGCGUGCGCAGGCGGUUAUGCAAGGCAGAUGUGAAAUCCCCGGGCUUAACCUGGGAACCGCAUUUGUGACUGCAUAGCUGGAGUACGGCAGAGGGGGAUGGAAUUCCGCGUGUAGCAGUGAAAUGCGUAGAUAUGCGGAGGAACACCGGUGGCGAAGGCGGUUCCCUGGGCCUUACCUGACGCUGAGGGGCGAAAGCAUGGGGAGCAAACAGG